rnacentral:lncRNA from 1 species
GGGAGGUUGCUGUCAGCCUGUCUUUAUGCUGUGCCUUCUGGCUCACAGUUCAGGAACCAAAAAAAGGGAACAGUUUUGAUGUUAUUCAGAUGUUAGCUAUCUCCAUUCUAUUCACCAGUUUUAUUACUCUUUGUGUGAACCACAAAGAACCUCCUUACUAACACAGGUACAACACAGAAGAACUGAAGCAUCAGAAGCUAAGGAAUAAUGCCAAAUUCUUGUUUGAAGUUGUUAAAUGACAAUUGCUCGCAGAACUAUAACCUUAGUUAUGCAAAUCACCAGAGUUCACGGCUGAAUGUGAGUACGUGUCCUCAUCAGUGGUCUUCUGCAUGGCACACAGAACUUCAGACAUCUGGUGAUGCAACUGAACUGCAGAGGGGAUGAAAAUGAACCAGCUACUUUUGGAAACAGCGAAAUAGUAAAGGCAGAAAGAAGAUGAGUAUCUCAAAAAUUGUCAAAUCUGAGAAAUUUCUUUGAAUGAUAACAUCUCCAGCUCUACAGACAUGAAAAGUAUGGAACAUGCAUUUUAUUAUCCAAAUCAAUUCUACCCCUUAUGCUUGGUAUUUCUCAGCUGUAGAGCCUUAUUCUACACCAGAAGUUCUUUCAGUUCUCGUAAUAAAAUUACAUUGUAG